rnacentral:rRNA from 1 species
CGUGUAGGCGGUCUGAUUAGUCUGAUGUGAAAGCCCUGGGCUCAACCCAGGAAGUGCAUUAGGAUACUGUCAGACUUGAAUACGGGAGAGGGUAGUGGAAUUCCUAGUGUAGGAGUGAAAUCCGUAGAUAUUAGGAGGAACACCGGUGGCGAAGGCGGCUACCUGGACCGAUAUUGACGCUGAGACGCGAAAGCGUGGGUAGCAAACAGGAUUAGAUACCCUGGUAGUCCACGCCGUAAACGAUGAGUACUAGGUGUUGCGGGUAUUGACCCCUGCAGUGCCGCAGCUAACGCAUUAAGUACUCCGCCUGGGAAGUACGGUCGCAAGACUAAA